AGCUCGGCGUUUGUUUCCGGGCCGCGCUGCGGAGCGCGGCCGAGCUGCGGAGCGGGGCUGCCCCGGCCCGGCCCGGCCCGCGGCCAUGGACGAGGACGGGCUGCCCAUCGUGGGCUCCGGCAUCGACCUCACCAAGGUUCCUGCUAUUCAGCAGAAAAGAACUGUAGCAUUUCUAAACCAGUUUGUUGUUCACACAGUGCAGUUUCUCAACCGCUUUUCUACUGUUUGUGAAGAGAAAUUGUCAGCACUCUCUCUCCGUAUACAACAAAUUGAAACCACACUCAAUAUUCUGGAUGCAAAGUUAUCCUCGAUUCCUGGCCUAGAAGAUGUCAAAUUUGAAGUGUCCAGUGCAAAUGUCAACAGUGUUACAAAUGGUCCUGUGGCACAGGCUGCUACAGAUCAACAGAAAGCUGGAUCACCUCAGUCUGGACAGAACAAUACGCAAGAGGAAGGGUUACAGAAGACGGAGGUAGUAACAGAAAAUGUCACAACUGUGGCCAAGGAUCCAAGAUAUGCCAGAUACCUCAAAAUGGUACAAGUGGGUGUUCCUGUAAUGGCAAUACGAAACAAAAUGAUUUCUGAGGGGCUAAAUCCAGAUCUUCUUGAUGUGCUGACUACUUUUCACUGAUGAGGUGCUCUGAAGAGACUCAAGUGCCUGCACUAACUGCUCCUGAGGACCCAACUCUCCAGUGCAAACAUCCACCCCAGAGAAUGCCCUUUCCUCACAGAAUGAACAUACUCCUUGCACUAUGUGGGCUCAAGUCCCCUCAAGCAGAACUCUUCUAUGGAAGAGAGUUUUCAUUAACACGACAAAGGAGUCCAUUUAAAAUAUGGGCCACUUGUGACAAUCUUCAAGGACUUUUUCAAAUCAGAAACCACUCUGUGGUAAGUACAGAACUGUAAUCACUUCAAAGCUUUUGAAGGGCUUUAGGUGAGAAGAGAAUGGAAUUGGCAUACACAUAGAAAGCCAUUUGAAGUUCUUGGAACAUAUUGUAGGAGCAAACCAAACAACCUGAAAUUGCACGGAAGUCCAUUUUUUAACAGAGUAUUUUCUCAGGCUAAGGGUUUAUAGGUGAUUUUUGCUGUUGACAAUUUUUAAGCUCAACAAUCUUAGAUUAUGUUGUAAAGAAAAUUCAUACCAGGAAUAUUGUAUCACAAUCUAUGUACUGGACUUUUAAGAACACAUUCUUCUUGAUGCUAUAUUUUGCAUUAAAAAAGCUAAACGAAAACUUGCAUUCAUAUUCAUUUUUCUUUAAGUCUGCUGCUUUGAAAAAAAGAUUAGCAAAAAAUGUAUUGGUGACAGUCCCCUCCUUUUUAUGAAAACGAAAAAAGGAAAUGGCAUAUUUGAAACAAAAUGUGCUUACUUAUUUGAAUUGGUGCAUAGGUGAGCUCAACCACCAUGGAAAAUAGGAGGAACCCUGCAUGAAAAUGACAGCAUUUUUGUCACCAGCUUGUGCAGAAGAAUUUUAAAAACAAACAGUCUUCUGAAGAGUGGAAAGACAAGAAGGUGGAGGAGACAAAGAAUAAAUAUUUUAGGGCCAAAAGACUCAUCAUCAUUGAAUUUUCUUCAGAGCCAUCAUAAACUAUUUCUUUUCAAACUGAAGUCCCAAAUGUUUAAAAUAGGAAGAUUCUAGUGCACCUACAGGGAUUCUGAUUUCUCCAGAGGUACCAACCACAUCAUCUCUUAGGACUCAGCUGCUAGAAAACACAAAAUCAUAUUCAUUUUAUCUACCAAUAAUUGAAUUUAUAUGGUUCACUUGAUGGAACAUUAGCACAGUCCCAGUGACAAAUUUAGGUGUGGUCUCUUGCUGUGACAACUGCUACAUUGUAAGCAAAUAAAAUUAAUGUUAGUUCAAGGUAUACACAGAGUACUUGAGGAAUGCAUAUAGGAAUUGCAGAAACCUUGAACUAAACUUUACCAGUAUUCUUGUCCUUUGUGUAACUGGAAUUCCCCAUACAACCUCUAUUUAAUUUUUAUACUUCAUUUUAGGAUAUUGCACAACUGAAAUGUUGCAACAUUCUUCCUCUUUUUUAACACUCUUAGUUUUACUAAAUCACAUUCUCAAUCACAUGAUUCAUAUUCUUACACUAAAGCAAUGACCUGCAAAUUAAGAAUAUGAAUAUGGUAUGACUAUUGCCCUGAGUACUCAGAAGAAAACCUUGUAUAAUACCCAAGUGCAUCUUCUAGAAAGUGCUUAUGCUUAGAUCAUGUGCCUUUAGAAUUGUUGUAAAUGCUUCACCAAUAGUCAAAGUAUAUCUUUAGUCCAAAUGUGGUGUUAAAAGGGCGCAACAUAAACAAGACUUUUAAAAAGCUUUACUAGUAAAUGCAGAGGGAUUGAAAUGUGAAUGGGAAUCACUGGUGCGGCCUCUUAUAUCUUUGUUUUGUUUAGGUUUUUUAGUGCAUAUGGACUUUUAUUGUGAUUCCAUAGCUAAAGGAUAAGAUCAAUGUUUUCUGGGAGUUAUUCCAUUAAGUUGUAGCAGCUGUGAUACAUUCACUAGAGUUGUACAGUUGUGACUUAAAUGUUUGGUCCAUCCCUUUUAGAAGGUAUGACCCAAUUGAGAUACCUGGGGCUGUCAAAAAUUUUAUUGCAAAUAAAACAACAUAAAAAUCC